rnacentral:tRNA from 1 species
UGCGGGGUGGUUGCUGUUGGUAGCAACACCUGACUCUGAAUCAGGAGGCCGUCGGUUCGAUUCCGACCCCCGCAUC